rnacentral:rRNA from 1 species
GUUAAAAAGCUCGUAGUUGGAUUUCUGGUCGAUGACGUUUGGGUGCAGCCUCGUUGCUGCACUGAUCGUUCGUUGGUCAAAAUUUGUCACAAAUCAUAUGACCGCUUCAUUGUGGUCUUAUGACUAAUGACUCGUUUACUUUGAGAAAAUUAGAGUGUUCAAAGCAGGCUUUACGCCUUGAACUAUGUUAGCAUGGAAUAAUAACAUAGGACUUCGGUUCUAUUUGUUGGUUGUUCGAGAACUGGAGUAAUGAUUGAUAGGGACGGUUGGGGGCAUCCGUAUUCUCAAGCGAGAGGUGAAAUUCUUGGACCUUGGGAAGACGAACAGAUGCGAAAGCGUUUGCCAAGGACGUUCUCUUUAAUCAAGAACGAAAGUUGGGGGAUCGAAAGACGAUCAGAUACCGUCGUAGUCUCAACUAUAAACUAUGCCAGCUAGAGAUCGGCGGGAUCUAUCUUCGGAUCCGUC